UACGGGGGUCAAGGGCAGUGUUCGCGAUUCAUUGGGCGUAAAGAGCGUGUAGGCGGCCAGGUAGGUCGGUUGUGAAAACUGGAGGCUCAACCUUCAGAGGUCGACCGAAACCAUCUGGCUAGAGUCCGGGAGAGGAGAGUGGAAUUCCUGGUGUAGCGGUGAAAUGCGCAGAUAUCAGGAAGAACACCCGUGGCGAAAGCGGCUCUCUGGAACGGUACUGACGCUGAGACGCGAAAGCGUGGGGAGCGAACAGG
rnacentral:rRNA from 1 species